rnacentral:rRNA from 1 species
GAUUACGGAGCAGCGAACGGUGAGUAAAACGUGAACAAUCUGUCCUCAACGUUCCGGAUAAUUGGCCGAAAGGCUUGUAAUACGGGCGAGGGUCCAGAAGGAGCAUUCCUUUUUGAAGGAAGGUGCGGGAUUAUCCUGCGCCGCGCGAGGAGGAGUUCGCGGCCUAUCAGUUAGUUGGUGGGGUAACGGCCUACCAAGACGACGACGGGUAGCUGGUCUGAGAGGAUGGUCAGCCACAUUGGAACUGAGACACUGUCCAGACUCCUACGGGAGGCUGCAGUCGAGAAUCUUGGGCAAUGCACGAAAGUGUGACCCAGCGACGCCGCGUGGAGGAUGAAGGUCCUCUGGAUUGUAAACUCCUUUUAAGAGGAAAGAACGCUCCUUCGGGAGCUUGACGGUACCUCUUGAAUAAGCCACGGCUAACUACGUGCCAGCAGCCGCGGUAAUACGUAGGUGGCAAGCGUUGUCCGGAUUUACUGGGCGUAAAGCGUAUGCAGGCGGAUGCCUAAGUAGGAAGUGAAAGGUUGGAGCUCAACUCUAACACUGCUCCCUAUACUGGGUGUCUUGAGUGCCGGAGAGGAAGAUGGAACUGCACGUGUA